CCUACGGGAGGCAGCAGUGAGGAAUAUUGGUCAAUGGCCGGAAGGCUGAACCAGCCAAGCCGCGUGAAGGACGAAGGUGCCAAGCAUUGUAAACUUCUUUUGUAAAGGGACAAAAUCAGGCUCGAGAGCUUGACCGCGGGUACUUGCAGAAAAAGCAUCGGCUAACUCCGUGCCAGCAGCCGCGGUAAUACGGAGGAUGCGAGCGUUAUCCGGAUUUAUUGGGUUAAAAGGGUGCGUAGGCGGACUGUUAAGUCAGCGGUAAAAGCCCGGGGCUCAACCCCGGCGAGCUGUUGAAACUGGGUUUCUGGAGUGAAGGAGAGGUUGGCGGAAUUCCGGGUGUAGCGGUGAAAUGCGUAGAUAUUCGGAGGAACACCGGUGGCGAAGGCGGCCAACUGGGCUUUAACUGACGUUGAGGCUCGAAAGUGUGGGGAGCAAACAGGAUUAGAUACCCCUGUAGUC
rnacentral:rRNA from 1 species